rnacentral:rRNA from 1 species
UGGGGAAUAUUGGGCAAUGGGCGCAAGCCUGACCCAGCAACGCCGCGUGAAGGAAGAAGGCUUUCGGGUUGUAAACUUCUUUUAUUCGGGACGAAGAAAGUGACGGUACCGAAUGAAUAAGCCACGGCUAACUACGUGCCAGCAGCCGCGGUAAUACGUAGGUGGCAAGCGUUAUCCGGAUUUAUUGGGUGUAAAGGGCGUGUAGGCGGGAAUGCAAGUCAGAUGUGAAAACUCAGGGCUCAACCCUGAGCCUGCAUUUGAAACUGUAUUUCUUGAGUGCUGGAGAGGCAAUCGGAAUUCCGU